AAGGUGAGGUACCUGCUUGCUCAAAGGUACAGCAGCAGUGUGUCUCCCCACCUUGGAUUGAACCCACACAAGACCCCCGGUCAAGAGUCCAGAGCCCUAACCACUACUCCACACUGCUGCCGUUAACCAUGGAGCAAUAUAGAAUGACUUCACAAAUAGAACAAGCUGUGGCUUCAAUUCGCAGAUCGAUGUGUGUUGGCAUUGAGAUCAGCAAUAACAGCAAAUUCAUACUAAAAUCACCAGAGGUAUAUGUCUAUGGUGGUGUUCUGCGAAGCCCACCACAACCAAGAAUUGAUCCAGGAAACAGUGGAAUCUGCAUUUUUACAAAGUACUUGUACUCACUGUGUGGUGUAGAGGGGAUGCUCAGCUACGACGUGAAUGGAAAGAGACUUUGCUUGAUGUUUUCUAACCCUCUCUGGGUGUAUUUGUACAAAAGGAAAUUCAAUUUGAUGUUCUACGGCAUAGAGGAUUCUAUAAAUGAGCAGUUAUUUAAUAAAAUGGGUUUAGAAAAUGAAGCUGGCAACAUCUGUAUUGUUGGAGACAGUUCGUUAUCAAAGAUCACAGCUCGUGGUGGAGAUGUAGAAGUAACAGCCACAAUGUCUUCAUCUAUGAAAUCCAUCAUUAAAAUUGAUAUCAGGGAUGUGUGAUGUGACAUGGCAUUGUAGCAAUAUGUUCACUUUGUAUGGUAAACUUCACAGAUCUCUAUGGCUUUUUAAAUGCUUGUUAUUGUCUGUUGUGCUUUUGUUUUUAUUGUGAUCUAAAACUUAUUUUUGUAAGUGUGUUUAUAAGCAGCUGUUUAAGGCACUCUAAGUUGAAUACGUGAUUGUAAAGGUGAAGGAGGUCACAUGAACAGGUUUGACUCUGUGUGUGUGUGUGUAUAUGUGUGUGUAUAUAUAUAUAUAUAUAUAUAUAUUAUAUAUAUAUAUAUACUGUAUAUAUUGAGCUGAGUUUUCUUGCUAACGACCUUGAACAGCUAGCAACCUUGAAGAAUGACCAGAUACCUUCAGUGAUGUCGUCAAAUCAGAAGACUUGUAGAAAGAAGUUUGCCUGACGGUGAUUUCACAAGGUUUAAUUCCCAUUAGGUUGUAUGUAAAAUUAAUGAACAAGUACCGAACAUAAUAAUAUUGUAAAACAAGAAUAUAUUACCAGCAAGAAUUUGUUUGCUAAUUUUGUUUAUUUAAAAAAAAAAAAAAAAAAAAAACGCUAAAUUAAUGUGCCUUUGAUUUUUGCAACCCAGUUUUGUUAUUGUAUACGUGUUGGUAUUUUGCAAUACAGUCUGUGUUAUUGUAUAUAAUUUGGCACAUUUAGCAAGUUCACAAGUUAAAUUAAAACCCUUAUAACCUCUAGAAAGCUACCAUACAGUAUACUGUGAAA